GAUGAACGCUAGCUACAGGCUUAACACAUGCAAGUCGAGGGCCCGGCGCACGGGUGAGUAACACGUAUCCAACCUGCCCUUUACUCGGGGAUAGCCUUUCGAAAGAAAGAUUAAUACCCGAUAUAAAGGAUGGGGAUGCGUUCCAUUAGGUUGUUGGUGAGGUACCGGCUAACCAAGCCUUCGAUGGAUAGGGGUGCUGAGAGGAAGGUCCCCCACAAUUGAACUGAGGCACGGUCCAAACUCCGACGGGAGGCAGCAGUGAGGAAUAUAAGGCAAGGGGCGCUAGCCUGAACCUGCCAAGUAGCGGGAAGGAUGAAGGCUUAUGGGUCGUAAACUUCUUUUAUGUAAGGAUAUGUAUUAUAUGAAUAAGGAUCGGCUAACUCCGUGCCAGCAGCCGCGGUAAUAC
rnacentral:rRNA from 1 species